UAGAGAAUGGCUUAAAAUAUCAAAUGCUC
rnacentral:sRNA from 1 species